rnacentral:rRNA from 1 species
UUCUGCUCAAUGGAACUCUAAAUAGCCGCAGUACUCUGACUGUGCAAAGGUAGCAUAAUCAAUUGGCCUCUAAUUAAGGUCUGGAAUGAACGAACUUAUGGGUAGCAACUGUCUUAAAAUAGUUAAUUAAAUUGAUUAAUAAGUGCAAAUACUUAUUAAAUUAUAUUAGACGAGAAGACCCUAGAAACUUAUAAUUAUUUUGUUGGGGCGACAGAAUUACAUAAAACUAAUUUUAUUUUACGAGACGUAAAGCAGAAAGAAAAAGUUACUCUAGGGAUAACAGCAUAAUUUUGAAUAGCUUGUGACCUCGAUGUUGGACUAGGUAGAUAGUUUUUUAGAAGAAAGCGUUCUUGGCUCUGUUCGAGCAUUUUUAACCUACGUGAUCUGAGUUCAGACCGGA